UAAUACGUAGGGUGCGAGCGUUGUCCGGAAUUACUGGGCGUAAAGAGCUCGUAGGCGGUUUGUCACGUCGUCUGUGAAAUCCCUCGGCUUAACCGGGGGCGUGCAGGCGAUACGGGCAGACUUGAGUACUACAGGGGAGACUGGAAUUCCUGGUGUAGCGGUGAAAUGCGCAGAUAUCAGGAGGAACACCGGUGGCGAAGGCGGGUCUCUGGGUAGUAACUGACGCUGAGGAGCGAAAGCAUGGGUAGCGAACAGGAUUAGAUACCCUGGUAGUCCAUGCCGUAAACGGUGGGCGCUAGGUGUGGGGUCCUUCCACGGACUCCGUGCCGUAGCUAACGCAUUAAGCGCCCCGCCUGGGGAGUACGGCCGCAAGGCUAAAACUUAAAUGAAUUGACGG
rnacentral:rRNA from 1 species